ACCUAAGGUGCCACAGAUAUUUUUGGCUUAUCCUAUCUCUAAUUCUCUUAGACCCUAUGGCUUGUUGGAUUUUUGCCACAUAGCAAAAAUUAAUUUUAAAAAUUUUAAAAUAAGCAAAUCAAUAAUUUUAUCAAAUAAAACUAUCGAGCUGAACCCAAAACCCUAAAAUCACCUUAUCGAACACGAUCAUAGCAAAUUCAAGCAUGCAAAGAG
rnacentral:lncRNA from 1 species